CACUUAGAGUAAUGUCUAAGUAUCAUUAAGUGAAUACAUAGCUUAAUGAGGGGAACUCAGGGAACUGAAACAUCUAAGUACCUGAAGGAAGAGAAAGAAAUUCGAUUCCGUAAGUAGCGGCGAGCGAACGCGGAUUAGCCCAAACCAAUAAAGUUUUCUUUAUUGGGGUUGCGGACAUAUCAUAACGAAGAGGUAUCGUAAUUGAAUAGGUUUGGAAAGACCCACCACAGAAGGUAAUAGUCCUGUAUGUUAAACGAGAAGACUUUAGAUAUGAUCCAGAGUACCACGGGACACGUGAAACCCUGUGGGAAGCAGGAGGGACCACCCUCCAAGGCUAAAUACUACCUAGUGACCGAUAGCGUAUAGUACCGUGAGGGAAAGGUGAAAAGAACCCCGGGAGGGGAGUGAAAUAGAACCUGAAACCCUGCACUUACAAGCUGUGGAAGCACAUUUCUUGUGUGACCGCGUACUUUUUGUAGAACGGGCCAACGAGUUACGUUAAGUAGCAAGGUUAAGCACUUAAGGUGCGGAGCCGUAGCGAAAGCGAGUUUUAAC
rnacentral:rRNA from 1 species